UACGGAGGGUGCAAACGUUGCUCGGAAUCAUUGGGCGUAAAGCGCACGUAGGCGGCUCGUUAAGUCGGAUGUGAAAGCCCCGGGCUCAACUCGGGAAGUGCAUUCGAAACUGGCGAGCUUGAAUAUGGAAGAGAGUCGCGGAAUUCCCGGUGUAGAGGUGAAAUUCGUAGAUAUCGGGAGGAACACCAGUGGCGAAGGCGGCGACCUGGGCCAAUAUUGACGCUGAGGUGCGAAAGCGUGGGGAGCAAACAGG
rnacentral:rRNA from 1 species